ensembl:lncRNA
UGCAAUCUUUCCAAAACACUCAGACCAGACCUUCAUGACAUCAUCUUUUUAUCAGCUCUCCUUACGAAACUUGUCAUUGAUUGCUGAUUCGUUGGCAUGUUUAUGAAUUAACGUUAUGUCAGUGUGAUACUGAACACCGGAGCCAGCUCUCUGCAGGAGGAUACUUAUUUCAUAUGAAAAGCUGUUUGGACUCUCAUUCUGACGGCACCCAUUCACUGCAGAGAUCCAUUGCUGAGACACUGAUGCAGUGCUACAUUUCUACAAAUCUGAUGAAGAAACAAACUCAUCCUAAUCUCGGAUGGCCUGAGGAUCACGAGCGGUGGUUGAUGAUUAACCUGAGAGCAGCUGUUUCCAGCUCAGACACCCGCGCUGACGAUGAUGCUGGGUCCGUCCUGUGAUUGACACGCCGGCUCGAGUAUCACUGCUGAAUGAGAGGCAGAUGGAGCUGAUGAUGGAGGCACAUUUACUCUGCAGAUCAAGCUGAAGAGCGUGGACACGUAUGGGAUGAUCUAUUAGCACUACUGUUGAUAAAACGUUCCUCAUCCCGAAGUAUUUUAAAAGAAAUAUCUUUUAAAAUAUCUGUCAUUGAAUAUUGAUUGAUUUAAACAAGUGUUUGAUUGAAAUCAUGGCAGAUAGAUGUGAUGUACAAACAGUCAGGUGUCAAGGUUCACAUUUUUCAUGAACAUGCAUGUUCCCAAGAGUCAUCAUUUUUAUUUUCUGGUCAGAGUGUUUAGUUAGUUUCCACUUUUUAUCGGCCAGCAGAAGUGAAAGUGGACAAAACUAAUAUAUAUGGGAAUACUGUUACAUAUAUAUGCAAUAUAUUAAAUAAGCAUUUCAAUAUAUGGGAAGCUACCGUAUGCUUCUUUUUUCAAUAUUUCAUAGAGCAUGUCUGGUUAUGUAUUGAUACAUAUAAAUAUAUAUGUGUGACCCUGGACCAUAAAACCAGUCAUAAGGGUACAUUUUUUGAAAUUGAGAUUUAUACAUCAUCUGAAAGCUGAAUAAAUAAUCUCUCCAUUGAUGUACGGUUUGUUAGGAGGACAAUAUUUGAAAAUCUGGAAUCUGAGGGUGCAGAAAAAUCUAAAUAUUGAGAAAAUUGCCUUUAAAGUUGUCCAAAUGAAGUUCUUAGCAAUGCAUAUUACUAAUCAAAAAUUAAGUUUUGAUAUAUUUACAGUAGGAAAUUAACAAAAUAUCUUCAUGGAACAUGAUUUUUACUUAAUAUCCUAAUGAUUUUUGGCAUAAAAGAAAAAUCUGUAAUUUUGGCUAUUGCCACAAAUAUACCCCAGAGACUUAAGACUGCUUUUGUGCUCCAGGGUCACAAAUAGCAAUGAAGACCAAAACUGCACUACAUUUUUUUUUUUAUUUUAUUUUAUUUUUUUUUUAUACAUGUGAUAGCUUUGUUAAAACUCAAUUCAUUUCAGUUUAUGAGUUAAUGCAUAGGUUUGCGGAACACAAAUUCAGAAACUUUUAUCUCACUUGAUUGUUUGUGUAGUUUCACUUUUCAUGUGCUAAAAUAUGUGGGAUGUAUGUAAGAAAAAUGGGUUAACUAAAAACAAAAACUAUCAUUUGUAAUAUCUAAAAAAAAAAUUAGGAUUUUUGCACACCACUUAUUCAAUUAAAUAUUAAAAUGUCCUGAUUAUGGACAACUGGAUGUCUUGUUACAACAUAAUUAGAGUAUUGUGUAUAAUUAAUAAAAUUAAAUAUAAAUUAUUUGUAAAUAAAUUAUAACUUCAUUAUUUAAAAAAAACUAUAAUUGUACAUACAUUUCAUCAUUUCAUCACAAAUUGUUGAUCCAUCGAAAUUCCAUAGUUCAAAUAUCCACUGUUCAAAAGUGUGUAUGUCAAAUACAUUUGACAACACACACACACACACACACACUUAUUUAUUUGCUUAUUAAAUGGCUUCAGAAGUACAUGAGACUCAUUUGACUGCAUAAUUUCUAUUAAUGCACCACUUAAACCAAAAGAACACGAGGUGAAAUAUUUGAUUCCAUCCUCAAGUUAUUAAUAUGUAAAUGGAGAGUUAAUUUCGCAUUAACUGUGCAUUUCUAAUCUCUUAUUGCGUCACAGAAAUAAUCGACCCUAUGUGUUUCAAAAGACACUCUUAUGAUGGUUGCAUCUUCUUACGCUGCUGAUGCUGUGGGAGGAUGAAUGCACUGCAAUUACAGUUAUGCAAUUAAUAAUUAGCUCAUUUAGCUUGUGUUACAGGAAGGCAGCUGAAGGGACAAGGAGAACAAGCUUGCGGCCUUGAGCUUCAGUAAUCAGAAGGGUUACAUAAGAAACAUCCUGCAGCACAUCUAAACAUUAAUGUGCGAGUCCUGCAGAACAUCUGCGUGCUUCUCAAAUAAGUGAGUCACUCAGACAGGAAAAUCAACGUGGAUGGAAGGAAGUGUCUGAGAGAUUUCUGCAGAAACAUGCCCUGGCUUUUGUUGAUAGGCUUGCAUAACUCGAAUAGGAUUUGUUGACUUAUUCAGAAUUUACAUUACAAAGUGAAAGCGCAAUAUUUUGAAUAAAGGUUUGGCAAACAAGAGCGUCUGGUGAAUGUCGACUGCUUUCGUGCCGAAUAAUAGGCUUGUUAUUUCACUCCAUAUGAAAGAAACGGUUCUGCUCUAUUAAUCCUGCAACAAUUUGCUUUCAUAUCGUAACAUCCAGAGAACUCUGAAAGGUUCAGUUUCUCUUUAUUAAUCUUUAGUCUUUGUAUCAAAACAUACAGUACAUCGAACACACACCCACACACCUCAGAUUUCACACCAAGAUAUUUGUUCCUUUGCCUUUUGUUCAGUCUAAUAUUAGCAGGUGUGUCAUUUUUAGUCAUGAAUAUUUUCUGUGAUAUUUUAACACUCUGUCAGACACAAAUUAAUGUUAAAUGUGACUAAUUAAUGACAUCAGUCCACCUUGUUGCAAUUCGCUUUGAAUGUUUUUAGUGUUUUGCUUUUGUUAGGCGGGAUUAGGAGGAUCUAGUAUUGUCUAAUAUUUG